rnacentral:rRNA from 1 species
UACAGCGAGCGCAAGCGCUAAUCGGAAUUACUGGGCGUAAAGCGCGCGUAGGCCGUCGAGUAAGUCGGAUGUGAAAUCCCCGGGCUUAACCUGGGAAUUGCAUUCGAUACUGCUUGACUAGAGUGUGGAAGAGGGAAGCGGAAUUUCCGGUGUAGCGGUGAAAUGCGUAGAUAUCGGAAGGAACACCAGUGGCGAAGGCGGCUUCCUGGUCCAACAAUGACUUUGAGGCGCGGGAGCGUGGGGAGCGAACAGG